GUUUUUAUAAUUUAAAUAAAAUAUUGAUUUUGUAAAUCAAAAAUAAGAAUCCUUUUAAAACU
rnacentral:tRNA from 1 species